rnacentral:sRNA from 1 species
GCUUCCGUAGAGGCCAGCUGGUUGCUACGCAACAGGAAACAUUCCGCGCUACCGAGUACUUUCUACUCCGACCAGGCAUUGCUCUCUCUGGAGACCCUCGGCGGUGAUUGCUCUGUUCUGACUUGGAGUAAGGAUGACUUUUCGGGCCACAGAUAGUGAAUUUGACCUCACAAAUAUUGAAGAAUAUGCUGAAAAUUCUGCACUUUCAAGACUGAAUAAUAUAAAAGCCAAACGAAGACUGAGUUAUGUGACAUCCACAGAAAAUGAAUCUGAUACACAAAUCCUAACGUUUAGGCACAUUACAAAAGCUCAGGAGAAGACAAGAAAACGACAGCAGCCUAUAAAACUAGAGCCUUUGCCAGUGCUAAAAGUCUACCAAGAUCAUAAGCAGCCAGAAUACAUACAUGAACAGAACCGAUUUCAGUUAAUGACUGCAGGAAUCAUUAAACGUCCAGUAAGCAUAGCAAAAAAAAGUUUUGCCACAUCAUCUACUCAGUUUCUUGAGCAUCAAGAUGCUGUGAAAAAAAUGCAGAUUAUCACAAAGUGCAGAGCAGUAGAAGUUUCAUUAAUACACCACAUGAGUUGCCCACUUAUGGAGACUCUGAAAAAAUGACAUAUACAGAACAGGCCAGCAAAAGGCAUUAUUGCAUGAGGCUGACGUGCUUUAUUCGUCUAAACGACUAUCUAAUUGAGAACACAAUGCACGUCUUAACGGUAAAUGCUGUUAAUUCGCUUUUGAACCAUCUCACUGACAAGCUAAAACGAACACCUUCAGCAGAUGUCAUUCAGAAAUGGAUUACUGAAGAGAAGCCUGAAGUCCCUGAUAAAAAGGGGACCCUUAUGGUGGAAAAGCAAGAAGAAGAUGAAUCUCUCAUCCCCAUGUUUCUCACAGAACUAAUGUUGACCGUCCAGUCACUUCUCUUUGAGCCUUCUCUGGAAGACUUUCUGGAUGGUAUUUUGGGUGCAGUUAAUCAUUGUCAAAACACUGUGUUAUCAGUUCCUAAUCUCGUGCCUGAUUCGUAUUUUGAUGCUUUCACCAGCCCUUAUAUUAACAACAAACUUGAAGGAAAAACCUGUGGAACUGGGCCAAGUUUAGCAGCAGUAUUUGAGGAUGAUAAGAAUUUUCACACAAUUAUUUCUCAAAUAAAGGGAACCAUUCAGGCAGCAUUUGAAUCGGCCCGCAUCUAUGCAGCUACCUUUGAAAAGUUCCAGAUAUUCUUCAAGGAAAAUGAAAGUCUUGAUUUACAAGCUCUUAAACUUCAGGAACCUGAUGUUAACUUUUUUAGUGAACAACUGGAAAAAUAUCACAAACAGCACAAGGACGCAGUAGCUCUCAGACCCACCAGAAAUGUAGGAUUGCUGCUCAUUGACACUAGGCUGCUAAGAGAAAAAUUAAUUCCAUCACCUUUGCGAUGCUUAGAGGUGCUAAAUUUUAUGCUUCCUCGUCAAAGCAAGAAAAAAGUGGAUGCCAUUAUCUUUGAGGCACAAGAUGCAGAGUACAAACUUGAGUUUGUUCCAACUACUACCACAGAAUAUGUUCAUAGCUUAUUAUUUCUUGAUGAAAUUCAGGAACGGAUUGAAAGCCUUGAAGAUGAAGGGAAUAUAGUGACUCAAAUGUACAAGCUUAUUGAACAAUAUCAGGUUCCCACACCUCCUGAAGACUUUGCUGUUUUUGCAACUAUGAAGCCAUCCAUUGUUGCUGUUCGGAAUGCCAUUGAUAAAUCAGUGGGUGAUAGAGAAUCAAGCAUUAAGCAAUUUUGUGUGCAUUUGGGUAGUGAUCUUGAAGAAUUAAACAAUGAAGUGAAUGAAGUAAAACUGCAAGCACAGGUAAGCUAAAUCAUUAUUUUGUAAAAAUAAUGUAUGCAAAGUUUGACUAUUACAUUUGUUUAUUAAAGUAUAGCCAACAAAUAAAAAUCAUAUAUAUUUACAAUGUAUAAUGUGAUGUUUUGAUAUAUGUAUACAUUGUGAAAUUGUUAAUCAAGCUAAUUAAUGUGUCUAUCACCUCACAUACAUCAUUUUUUUGUGGUAAGAAUAAUUAAGACUACUCUUCAAACCAUUUAGAGAACACAUUUAACUGAUGUAGCUUUAGUUUUUUAUAGUUUCAUUCUAACCAAUCAACAAUGUCUUUGAGCUGCUACUUAAAAAUUAAUGUUUCAAAAUCUCUCUUUAAGUAGUGAAUACAUUUCAGACUAUCACAAAGCAUAUAUGUAAUAUUAAAAUUGAAUUUAGUCAGUUAAAUUCUAGUCCUAAUUUGUAUUUAUUAUUUUGAAGAGUGUUUUAAUGACUUGCUAGCACAUUUUACAGCUAUUGUCACAAUUUUAAAGUUUGCUUAAUACCUGGGUGACGAAAUAAUUCAUACAACAAACCCCCAUUACACAAGUUUACCUGUAUAACAAACCAGCACAUGUAUCCCUGAACUUAAAAUAAAAGCU